rnacentral:rRNA from 1 species
CCUACGGGAGGCAGCAGUGAGGAAUAUUGGUCAAUGGGCGGAAGCCUGAACCAGCCAAGUCGCGUGAGGGAUUAAGGCCCUGCGGGUCGUAAACCUCUUUUGCCGGGGAGCAGAGGUCCGGACGUGUCCGGGCCGGGAGAGUACCCGGAGAAAAAGCAUCGGCUAACUCCGUGCCAGCAGCCGCGGUAAUACGGAGGAUGCGAGCGUUAUCCGGAUUUAUUGGGUUUAAAGGGUGCGUAGGCGGGCAUUUAAGCCGUCGGUCAAAUGACGGGGCGCAACCCCGGCCUGCCGUCGGAACUGGGUGCCUUGAGUGGGCGAGAAGUAUGCGGAAUGCGUGGUGUAGCGGUGAGAUGCAUAGAUAUCACGCAGAAACCCGAUUGCGAAGGCAGCAUACCGGCGCCCUACUGACGCUGAGGCACGAAAGUGCGGGUAUCGAACAGGAUUAGAUACCCGGGUAGUC